rnacentral:lncRNA from 10 species
UUGGCUGGCAUACAGUUUUGCCCGACUCUUCUCCCUGCCUGGAAUGCAGAGGUGGGAGGAGCUGCAGCCGUGGGGACAAAUGCCACAGGCCACAGAUGGUAGACGACGCCGUGGAGGUGCUGCACCGCCCUGGAGGGUCUGCCUCUGCGGUCGCUCGCUCCUGGGGAGGCACAUGAGCACAGCCAUCCCCGACUGGGCUACGCCAGCCUCUGCAGAGAGUCUGUUCCUCGCAGCCAAUCAGGAUGCUGAUCCAGAAGGCAACUGAAGCCAUGGCCAGUGGGAAACUGCCCAGGCGAGCAGAGAUUCAGAAGGAGGGCGGGGCAGAGGCUUCGGGGCUCUCAGCGUUUAAAGGCUGGGAGAAGAGGUUGAGCCUGCAGGAGAGACCAAGAUCUUAUAAAAAAAAAAGCCAAAAACCCCACAAUUCUUUGAAGAACGAAAGGGGGAAGCCAGCUGCCAUGUCAUGAGGACACUCAAGGGGUCCAUAUGGCAAGGACCCAAGGCUGCCUGCCGUGAGCCACCAGGGAACUGCCAACAGCGUGAGCGGGAUAUGUCGGAAGCAAAUCCUCCAGCCGCAGUCAUGAUGAUUAGAGCCCCAGCCAAGAUUUUGAUGGCAACCUCAUGACAGACCCUGAGCCACAGCCACUCAACUAAACUACUCCCAAAUUCUUGACCCUCAGAAACUGUGACGUAAUGUAUUUUAUUGUUUUAAACCACCAAGAUCUGGGGUACUGGUUAUGCAACAAUAAAUACCGAAUACACACAUACAAUAAAACCAGGCCACGAAGGUUUUCCAGGGGAUUCUACAACACGUUCAAGGAAAAGAUGAUCCCAGUUUUUACGAACCAUUCCAGAGAGAACGUCCCCACCCACUUUAUGAGGCUGUAUAACCUGAUACCAAAACCAGUCAAGGAUAUUAUUUUCAAUGUAUAAGCAAAUCUCACUAAUGAACAGAUAGUAAAAGUUCUAAACAAAACAGCAAGCUGAAUUCAGCAAUAUAUUUUAAAUACACAUAGCAUGGCUUGGUUUACUUCGGGAAUGCAAGAAUGAAUUUACUUUUCCAAAAUCUAUAAAUUUAUUCACCAUUUUAACACAUUGAAGAAGAAAAAUGAUAUGAGCAUCUCAAUAGUUAAGAUAAAAAUGGAUAAAAUCUAACUUUACUGAUUAUUUUAAAAUAUACUUAGCAAACUCAGACUAGAAACAUCACAUUUAUUGAUGAAACAUUAGAGACCUACCCUUUGCAACCAAGAUAGUUCUAAGGAUGCUCACUGUUCUGCUCAACAUUAUAGUGGAGGUUUUAGCCAGUGCAGGAAGAUAUUUUAAAACAGAAAAAUAAAUCAAUAAUGGGUGUAAGGUUUUAAUAGGAAGAAGCAAAUUAUCAGAAUUAUUACUAGACAUAAGAUAAUUAUGUAAAAAUAAAUUACAUUCUUAUAUAUUGGUAAUAAAAAUUAGAAAAUACAACUUUUU